rnacentral:piRNA from 1 species
UGCCAUCCUAAGGCCCUCCAUUGUGUGA